CCUACGGGAGGCAGCAGUGAGGAAUAUUGGUCAAUGGGCGAAAGCCUGAACCAGCCAAGUCGCGUGAAGGAUUACGGCCCUACGGGUUGUAAACUUCUUUUGUCGGGGAGCAAAAGUCUGCACGUGUGCGGUCUGGGAGAGUACCCGUAGAAAAAGCAUCGGCUAACUCCGUGCCAGCAGCCGCGGUAAUACGGAGGAUGCGAGCGUUAUCCGGAUUUAUUGGGUUUAAAGGGUGCGUAGGCGGACUUUGAAGUCGGCGGGAAAAUUUCGGGGCUCAACCCCGUCGUGCCGUUGGAACUGGUGUUCUUGAGUGGGCGAGAAGUAUGCGGAAUGCGUGGUGUAGCGGUGAAAUGCAUAGAUAUCACGCAGAACUCCGAUUGCGAAGGCAGCAUACCGGCGCCCUACUGACGCUGAGGCACGAAAGCGCGGGUAUCGAACAGGAUUAGAUACCCCUGUAGUC
rnacentral:rRNA from 1 species